GCAAUUCAGUAAGAACUAUAAUGCUUCUACUGUGCACCUGACAGUGCUGUCUAUGUCAGGAACUAUGUUUCUAGGCCUAAAUGGAUACCUGCAAAAGUACUUGUGGCCACAGGACCUUUGUCAUACAAAGUACAAAUUCCUGAUGGUAGAAUAUUACGAAGGCAUGUCGAUCAGAUUCGGGAAUGGAGUGAUGAGAUUGUGCCUGCUGCCGGUCCCAGUCAUACUGGGUUUUCUGUGAUACCAAAUGAUGUUGAACCAUUGGAUGAUAUAGGUCUCAGUUCUCCAGGAGUUGUUGUUGAAG
rnacentral:lncRNA from 1 species